AGCUGCCUCUUAAAGGGAUAGCUCUGCCCUUGGGGGCAGUGACGCGGCCGAGGAGGACUCCUAGAUGUAUCCCCGGGAGCUUCGGGGAUCCCCGAGGGGACCAUGCCUGGCGGCUGCCCCCCAAGGGCGUUGGGCGAACGGUGCCGCGUCUGCCCUUCCUCCCCGCUUCACUUCCCUUUCGGGAGCCCGCGAGGCUGGGUGGGGGCGGGGAGGGCGUCUCCGUCGGGCUUGGGGAGUCCAAGUCCGCCCGCCCCUUCGGCCCUGUAGUCAGGGCUGGCGCUGCACCCGGGAAUCCCCGGCCGGCACGGGGCCGACCCCAGCCUGCGAACUUUCGUGGGGCCUGUGCCGUCCAGGUCCUGGGCGGCCCUCAAGGAUGCCCCGUGGGUCUGCGGGCAGGUGCGCGUCGGCGUGGGGAUGUCGCCCGGAGCCCGGGUGCGGGCCGGCCUUGGAGUCCCAGAGCUCCGCGGAGGGCGCAGCGAGCCUGGCUCCAGCUCCGGGUUUGACAGAUGUCAGGGAAGAAAAGAUUCCCGCUCGGCUAUUGCCGGGCGUUGACAUCCCAGAGAGCUUCCCGGUUGCUUGGAAGAAGACGAGGAAGGUGGUGCUGGCUAGAGUGUAUACGUUUGGACCCAAGCUUAACUUUUCCAAUGUGGAAUCCUGGGCCUUCAUUGAUCAUCCAAUGGCAGACCAGAGAAUGGACAUUUCUUCAACCAUCAGUGAUUUCAUGUCCCCGGGCCCCACCGACCUGCUUUCCAGCUCUCUUGGUACCAGUGGUGUGGAUUGCAACCGCAAACGGAAAGGCAGCUCCACUGACUACCAAGAAAGCAUGGACACAGACAAAGAUGACCCUCAUGGAAGGUUAGAAUAUACAGAACACCAAGGAAGGAUAAAAAAUGCAAGGGAAGCUCACAGUCAGAUUGAAAAGCGGCGUCGGGAUAAAAUGAACAGUUUUAUAGAUGAAUUGGCUUCUUUGGUACCAACAUGCAACGCAAUGUCCAGGAAAUUAGAUAAACUUACUGUGCUAAGGAUGGCUGUUCAGCACAUGAAAACGUUAAGAGGUGCCACCAAUCCAUACACAGAAGCAAACUACAAACCAACUUUUCUAUCAGACGAUGAAUUGAAACACCUCAUUCUCAGGGCAGCAGAUGGAUUUUUGUUUGUCGUAGGAUGUGACCGAGGGAAGAUACUCUUUGUCUCAGAGUCUGUCUUCAAGAUCCUCAACUACAGCCAGAAUGAUCUGAUUGGUCAGAGUUUGUUUGACUACCUGCAUCCUAAAGAUAUCGCCAAAGUCAAGGAGCAGCUCUCCUCCUCUGACACCGCACCCCGGGAGCGGCUCAUAGAUGCAAAAACUGGACUUCCAGUUAAAACAGAUAUAACCCCUGGGCCAUCUCGAUUAUGUUCUGGAGCACGACGUUCUUUCUUCUGUAGGAUGAAGUGUAACAGGCCUUCAGUAAAGGUUGAAGACAAGGACUUCCCCUCUACCUGCUCAAAGAAAAAAGCAGAUCGAAAAAGCUUCUGCACAAUCCACAGCACAGGCUAUUUGAAAAGCUGGCCACCCACAAAGAUGGGGCUGGAUGAAGACAACGAACCAGACAAUGAGGGGUGUAACCUCAGCUGCCUCGUCGCAAUUGGACGACUGCAUUCUCAUGUAGUUCCACAACCAGUGAACGGGGAAAUCAGGGUGAAAUCUAUGGAAUAUGUUUCUCGGCACGCGAUAGAUGGAAAGUUUGUUUUUGUAGACCAGAGGGCAACAGCUAUUUUGGCAUAUUUACCACAAGAACUUCUAGGCACGUCGUGUUAUGAAUAUUUUCACCAAGAUGACAUAGGACAUCUUGCAGAAUGUCAUAGGCAAGUUUUACAGACAAGAGAAAAAAUUACAACUAAUUGCUAUAAAUUUAAAAUCAAAGAUGGUUCUUUUAUCACACUACGGAGUCGAUGGUUCAGUUUCAUGAACCCUUGGACCAAGGAAGUAGAAUAUAUUGUCUCAACUAACACUGUUGUUUUGUCCAGAGUGGACACCGGACACCUUGGCCAAGUUGAAAGGUGCACAGUUCUGAGCAGGCCUGACUCACGUUUCCUUAUUGCUGGGAUGUUCACAGAGCCAACGUCCUGGAAGGCGGGGACCCAACCUUCCCACAGCUCACAGCAUCCCCCCACAGCAUGGACAGCAUGCUGCCCUCUGGAGAAGAUUCCUUUGUUGUAGGUGGCCCAAAGAGGACCCAUCCCACUGUUCCAGGGAUUCCAGGGGGAACCCGGGCUGGGGCAGGAAAAAUAGGCCGAAUGAUUGCUGAGGAAAUCAUGGAAAUCCACAGGAUAAGAGGGUCAUCGCCUUCUAGCUGUGGCUCCAGCCCAUUGAACAUCACGAGUACGCCUCCCCCUGAUGCCUCUUCUCCAGGAGGCAAGAAGAUUUUAAAUGGAGGGACUCCAGACAUUCCUUCCAGUGGCCUACUAUCAGGCCAGGCUCAGGAGAACCCAGGUUAUCCAUAUUCUGAUAGUUCUUCUAUUCUUGGUGAGAACCCCCACAUAGGUAUAGACAUGAUUGACAACGACCAAGGAUCAAGUAGUCCCAGUAAUGAUGAGGCAGCAAUGGCUGUCAUCAUGAGCCUCUUGGAAGCAGAUGCUGGACUGGGUGGCCCUGUUGACUUUAGUGACUUGCCAUGGCCGCUGUAAACACUACAUGUUGCUUUGGCAACAGCUAUAGUAUCAAAGUGCAUUACUGGUGGAGUUUUACAGUCUGUGAAGCUUACUGGAUAAGGAGAGAAUAGCUUUUAUGUACUGACUUCAUAAAAGCCAUCUCAGAGCCAUUGAUACAAGUCAAUCUUACUAUAUGUAACUUCAGACAAAGUGGAACUAAGCCUGCUCCAGUGUUUCCUCAUCAUUGAUUAUUGGGCUAGCUGUGGAUAGCUUGCAUUAAUUGUAUAUUUUGGAUUCUGUUUGUGUUGAAUUUUUUAAUCAUUGUGCACAGAAGCAUCAUUGGUAGCUUUUAUAUGCAAAUGGUCAUUUCAGAUGUAUGGUGUUUUUACACUACAAAGAAGUCCCCCAUGUGGAUAUUUCUUAUACUAAUUGUAUCAUAAAGCCGUUUAUUCUUCCUUGUAAGAAUCCUUUACUAUAAAUAUGGGUUAAAGUAUAAUGUACUAGACAGUUAAAUAUUUUUAAUAAAUGUUUCCCUUGUUCUAUAAA